UUCGGAUUGUAAAGUUCUGUUGUUAGGGACGAAUAAGUACCGUUCGAAUAGGACGGUACCUUGACGGUACCUGACGAGAAAGCCACGGCUAACUACGUGCCAGCAGCCGCGGUAAUACGUAGGUGGCAAGCGUUGUCCGGAUUUAUUGGGCGUAAAGCGCGCGUAGGCGGCUAUGUAAGUCUGGUGUUAAAGCCCGGGGCUCAACCCCGGUUCGCAUCGGAAACUGUGUAGCUUGAGUGCAGAAGAGGAAAGCGGUAUUCCACGUGUAGCGGUGAAAUGCGUAGAGAUGUGGAGGAACACCAGUGGCGAAGGCGGCUUUCUGGUCUGUAACUGACGCUGAGGCGCGAAAGCGUGGGGAGCAAACAGGAUUAGAUACCCUGGUAGUCCACGCCGUAAACGAUGAGUGCUAGGUGUUGGGGGUUUCAAUACCCUCAGUGCCGCAGCUAACGCAAUAAGCACUCCGCCUGGGGAGUACGCUCGCAAGAGUGAAACUCAAAGGAAUUGACGG
rnacentral:rRNA from 1 species